UGGGGAAUAUUGGACAAUGGGCGAAAGCCUGAUCCAGCCAUGCCGCGUGUGUGAAGAAGGUCUUCGGAUUGUAAAGCACUUUAAGUUGGGAGGAAGGGCAGUAAGCGAAUACCUUGCUGUUUUGACGUUACCGACAGAAUAAGCACCGGCUAACUCUGUGCCAGCAGCCGCGGUAAUACAGAGGGUGCAAGCGUUAAUCGGAAUUACUGGGCGUAAAGCGUGCGUAGGCAGCUAAUUGAGUCGGAUGUGAAAUCCCCGAGCUUAACUUGGGAAUUGCAGUCGAUACUGGUUAGCUAGAGUGUGGGAGAGGAUGGUAGAAUUCCAGGUGUAGCGGUGAAAUGCGUAGAGAUCUGGAGGAAUACCGAUGGCGAAGGCAGCCAUCUUGCCUAACACUGACGCUGAGGUACGAAAGCAUGGGGAGCAAACAGG
rnacentral:rRNA from 1 species